rnacentral:rRNA from 1 species
GACGAACGCUGGCGGCGUGCUUAACACAUGCAAGUCGAACGGAAAGGCCCUGCUUUUGUGGGGCGCUCGAGUGGCGAACGGGUGAGUAACACGUGAGUAACCUGCCCUUGACUUUGGGAUAACUUCAGGAAACUGGGGCUCAUACCGGAUAGGAGCUCCUGCUGCAUGGUGGGGGUUGGAAAGUUUCGGCGGUUGGGGAUGGACUAGCGGCUUAUGAGCUUGUUGGUGGGGUAGUGGCGUACCAAGGCUUUGACGGGUAGCCGGCAUGAGAGGGUGACCGGCGACAUUGCGACUGCGGGACGGACCAGACGCGUACGGGAGGCAGCAGGGGGGAGUAUGGCACAGUGGGCGGAAGCCUGAGGCGGAGGCGCCGGGUUCGUGAUGACGGCCUUCGGGUUGUGAACCGCUUUCGCCUGUGACGAGGCGUGAGUGACGGUAAUGGAUAAAGAAGCACCGGCUAACUACGUG